UACAGAGGUCUCAAGCGUUGUUCGGAUUCAUUGGGCGUAAAGGGUGCGUAGGUGGCGGGGUAAGUCAGGUGUGAAAUCUCGGGGCUCAACCCCGAAACUGCACUUGAUACUGCCUUGCUCGAGUACUGGAGAGGAGAUUGGAAUUUACGGUGUAGCAGUGAAAUGCGUAGAUAUCUGGAGGAACACCGGUGGCGAAGGCGGCAUCCUGGACCGGUAUUGACGCUGAGGCGCGAAAGCUAGGGGAGCAAACGGG
rnacentral:rRNA from 1 species